GAUGAAUGCUGGCGGCGUGCCUAAUACAUGCAAGUCGAGCGGUAAGGCCCUUCGGGGUACACGAGCGGCGGACGGCUGAGUAACGCGUGGGAACAUGCCCCAAAGUGAGGGAUAACGCACCGAAAGGUGUGCUAAUACCGCAUAUGGUCUUCGGAUUAAAAGGAUUUAAUCCGCUUUGGGAGUGGGCCCCGCGUAACGAUUAGAUUGUUGGUGAGGUAACGGCUCACCAAGUCGACGAUCGUUAACUGGUCUGAGAGGAUGAUCAGUCAGACUGGAACUGAGACACGGUCCAGACUCCUACGGGAGGCAGCAGUAAGGAAUCUUCCACAAUGGGCGAAAGCCUGAUGGAGCAACGCCGCGU
rnacentral:rRNA from 1 species